rnacentral:misc_RNA from 1 species
AACUUUUGACAACGGAUCACUUGGCUCUCGCAUCGAUGAAGAACGCAACGAAAUGCGAUAAGUAAUGUGAAUUGCAGAAUUCAGUGAAUCAUCGAAUUUUUGAACGCACCUUGCGCUCCCUGGUAUCUCGGGUGGCACGCCUGUUCGACUCUCGUGAAAUUCUCAAACUGAUAUGCUGUUUUGUUUCUCGGCGUGGUGUUUGGCUUUGCAGUCCCCUUUGAUUGGGAUGUCUUGCCUUAAAAGCAUUAGCUGGCUUUUCCUGUAGAAUUGGUUCUACUCAGCGUGAUAAUGAUCUGACCGCCGAGGACAUCUUUCGCGAUGGCCAAUUCUCAUUUGGGCUGCUUCUAAUCUUGGUCGAGCAGAUUCUGAAUCUGUUCCACUUUUCAACUCUUGACCUCGAAUCAGGUGGGACUACCCGCUGAACUUAAGCAUAUCAAUAAGCGGAGGCU